rnacentral:rRNA from 1 species
GAUGAACGCUGGCGGCGUGCCUAAUACAUGCGAGUCGAGCGAACGGACGAGAAGCUUGCUUUUCUGAUGUUAGCGGCGGACGGGUGAGUAACACGUGGAUAACCUACCUAUAAGACUGGGAUAACUUCGGGAAACCGGAGCUAAUACCGGAUAAUAUUUUGAACCGCAUGGUUCAAAAGUGAAAGACGGUCUUGCUGUCACUUAUAGAUGGAUCCGCGCUGCAUUAGCUAGUUGGUAAGGUAACGGCUUACCAAGGCAACGAUGCAUAGCCGACCUGAGAGGGGGAUCGGCCACACUGGAACUGAGACACGGUCCAGACUCCUACGGGAGGCAGCAGUAGGGAAUCUUCCGCAAUGGGCGAAAGCCUGACGGAGCAACGCCGCGUGAGUGAUGAAGGUCUUCGGAUCGUAAAACUCUGUUAUUAGGGAAGAACAUAUGUGUAAGUAACUGUGCACAUCUUGACGGUACCUAAUCAGAAAGCCACGGCUAACUACGUG